GAGAGGUCUACCAUGCUUUUGACGGGUACGGGGAAUUAGGGUUCGAUUCCGGAGAGGGCGCCUGAGAAACGGCUCCCACUUCUAAGGAGGGCAGCAGGCGCGUAAAUUACCCAAUCGCAAUUCGCGGAGGUAGUGACAAGAAAUAACAAUACGGAAAUCAAAUUGAUUACUGUAAUUGGAAUGAGAACAAUCAAAAAAACUUAACGAGUAACAACUGGAGGGCAAGUCUGGUGCCAGCAGCCGCGGUAAUUCCAGCUCCAGAAGCGUAUAUUAAUGUUGUUGCAGUUAAAACGCUCGUAGUUGGAUCUUGGAGAAGAGUGGAACUCUGUCCGCCUGAAGGCGAGUACGGAUUCUCUCUCUCUGUAUUUGGCAACAGGAUAUGGCGGCCCUUAGUUGGGUUCGUCAUUCGGUGGAGGGUGACUGAAGCCGAGGCCGGGGUGCGGAGGAUGGCGGGCAGUGAAAGCUGAACGUCACGCCGUAGUCGGGUGGUUCUUUGCCACAUUUACUUUGAAAAAAAUAGAGUGCUCAAAGCAGACCUUAGGGUCAUUGAAUAAUUCAGCAUGGGAUAAUAGAACAGGAGUGCGAACUCAUUUGUUGGUAUUGUGGGUUUGAACUAAUGAUAAAAAGAGACCGUCGGGGUGGUUUGUAUUGAAAAGCUAGAGGUGAAAUUCUUGGAUUUUUUCAAGACAAACUACUGCGAAAGCAAUCCACUAGGAGGUUCUCAUUAAUCAAGAACGAAAGUUGGGGGAUCGAAGACGAUCAGAUACCAUCGUAGUCUCAACCAUAAACGAUGCCGACCUAGGAUAGGAGAGUGUUUUUCUAUGACUUCCCCUGCACUAUACGAGAAAUCAUAAGUCUUUGGGUUCCGGGGGGAGUAUGGUCGCAAGGCUGAAACUUAAAGGAAUUGACGGAAGGGCACCACCAGGCGUGGAGCCUGCGGCUUAAUUUGACAACACGGGGAAACUUACCAGGUCCGGACAACGCAAGGAUUGACAGAUUGAAAGCUCUUUCAUGAUUCGUUGGGUGGUGGUGCAUGGCCGUUCUUAGUUGGUGGUGUGAAUUGUCUGGUUGAUUCCGUUAACGAACGAGACCUUUGCUGGUAAAUAGUCACGGGAAGGUAUUGCGUCAAGGCGUAUGUGGGCCAACUUUGGGAAGGAUCCGUUCCCCCAGAGUUGCCGAUCCAUUGCGUUGCAUUUCUUCCUGGAGGUACUUCUUACUAGGACUAACUGUGACAAGCAGUUGGAAGUUGGAGGCUAAAACAGGUCUGUGAUGCCCUUCGAUGUUCUGGGCCGCAC
rnacentral:rRNA from 1 species